rnacentral:rRNA from 1 species
GGGGAAUAUUGCACAAUGGGGGAAACCCUGAUGCAGCAACGCCGCGUGAAGGAAGAAGGUUUUCGGAUCGUAAACUUCUAUCAACAGGGACGAAGAAAGUGACGGUACCUGAAUAAGAAGCCCCGGCUAACUACGUGCCAGCAGCCGCGGUAAUACGUAGGGGGCAAGCGUUAUCCGGAAUUACUGGGUGUAAAGGGAGCGUAGGCGGCACGCCAAGCCAGAUGUGAAAGCCCGAGGCUUAACCUCGUGGAUUGCAUUUGGAACUGGCGAGCUAGAGUACAGGAGAGGAAAGCGGAAUUCCUAGUGUAGCGGUGAAAUGCGUAGAUAUUAGGAAGAACACCAGUGGCGAAGGCGGCUUUCUGGACUGAAACUGACGCUGAGGCUCGAAAGCGUGGGGAGCAAACAGGAUUAGAUACCCUGGUAGUCCACGCCGUAAACGAUGAGUGCUAGGUGUCGGGGAGGAAUCCUCGGUGCCGCAGCUAACGCAAUAAGCACUCCACCUGGGGAGUACGACCGCAAGGUUGAAACUCAAAGGAAUUGACGGGGGCCCGCACAAGCGGUGGAGCAUGUGGUUUAAUUCGAAGCAACGCGAAGAACCUUACCAAGGCUUGACAUCCCGAUGACCGCUCUAGAGAUAGAGUUUCUCUUCGGAGCAUCGGUGACAGGUGGUGCAUGGUUGUCGUCAGCUCGUGUCGUGAGAUGUUGGGUUAAGUCCCGCAACGAGCGCAACCCUUAUCCUUAGUAGCCAUCAUUGAGUUGGGUACUCUAGGGAGACUGCCGUGGAUAACACGGAGGAAGGUGGGGAUGACGUCAAAUCAUCAUGCCCCUUAUGUCUUGGGCUACACACGUGCUACAAUGGCUGGUAACAGAGUGAAGCGAGACGGCGACGUUAAGCAAAUCACAAAAACCCAGUCCCAGUUCGGAUUGUAGUCUGCAACUCGACUACAUGAAGCUGGAAUCGCUAGUAAUCGCGAAUCAGAAUGUCGCGGUGAAUACGUUCCCG